rnacentral:rRNA from 1 species
CGUAAUCACUUGUUCUUUAAAUAAGGACUAGUAUGAACGGCAUCACGAGGAUUAUACUGUCUCCUUUACCUAAUUAGUGAAACUAAUCUCCCCGUGAAGAAGCGAGGGUGAUAUUAUAAGACGAGAAGACCCUAUGGAGCUUUAGAUUUAACGACACUUGUCCACAUUAAACUAAAUUUCAGAACUCUAUACACACCUGACAAGAUGAUCGUCAAUCUUAGGUUGGGGUGACCACGGAGCACAAAACAACCUCCUUGCUGAACGACAUUCAAUGUCUUAUUCUCGAGCAACCACUCUAAAAAACGAUAUAUCGACACUCAUUGACCCAAUUUUUGAUCAACGAACCAAGUUACCCUAGGGAUAACAGCGCAAUCCACUUCAAGAGCUCCUAUCGACAAGUGGGUUUACGACCUCGAUGUUGGAUCAGGGUACCCCAGUGG